ensembl:lncRNA
AUGGGGACCGGUAGGGAGGAGGAACGCGGGGUCCAGCCUCUCCCGCCCGGCAGCGCAGGACCGGACAGCGCGCGGCCUCGCGGGCAAGGGGAGCGCAGCAGGGGCGGGGCCGGGGAACCCCAGGCCGCGGCGGUCAGCCAAUCAGCGCCGUCAGCCUCGUCCCUCCCGACCUGCGGCAUCCGCCCAGAAGUGCGGCUGCCGGCAGCCGGGCGGGGCGUGAGGGUAGCUCCCGUUCCGAUCCAGGGGGCUUUGCUCUGGACCGCAAUUACUCGGGUGGUCUCCGAACUCGGCCUCCGUACCCCCACUAGGCAUUGCUGCUUUCAGAGAGCUAGGCUCCCUACCCAACGAUCCUGGAGCACCGGCUGCCUGCCACUCCCCCCCCCCUUCCAUGGGAAUCAGGCCUCAACGUUCAUCUCCGUGUCCUGGCUGGGCCCAAAUGUUAGCAAGAAGCGUGCUAAAUCAUCCAUCCUCGAUACCUGAUCACCCUUGAAUUCUUGAUAUUUAAUAAUGGAUUAGAUUCCUUAUAUUACACCUUUGUUGUAGAAGCCCUUGACCUGCCUUUAGCCAGAAUCCCCCUACCCUUGAUGUCUCCUGUUAGUAAUUUUCCAUCCACCGUCACCUCCCUCACAGACACGGUGCUUGUUCCUUAGCUAUAAAUCCCUUGCUGUCUUUGCUGUAUUCUGAGUUGAGCUCAAUUUCUCUCUCCUGUUCCAAUAGUCAUGACCCUUAUUGUAGUAAUCUUGAAUAAAUUAUUCAUUGUGUUUAACAAGUGUCUGGGAUAAUUUUCUUUAACAGCAGCAAGCAUUCCCCCUGGCCCAUUCCCAGGAGGACCCUAGCCCACAUUUGGUAAUCUGUUUCCUAAUCUGUAAAAUGGGGAUGUUCUUUGAAUAAAUACCUAAUACUCAGACAUCACAAGUACUUUCAAUUUAUUGUGAUGUUACAGUCUGAGGCCCUUGUAACUCUGGAAGUAAAGAAAGCCACAUGAUAAACAAUGGCACAUCUUUCUCAGGUGUAAAUUGCUUGAAGCUUUUACAACUUUAAGCUACCCAGUGGUCCAGUCUGGAGGAAGAAGUGAAGCCCAGAAAAGAUUAUAUGAAAGUGGCUUUAUCUAGAGUUGAACCCUCUACAGAUGUUAAUGAUUGGUAUAUUUUCUCCUUAAAUACGUAAAACAGAAAUCACCAAAUGUACCUACUACUUCUUGGACUUUUCCUGCAAAGCACUCAUAAAGCCAAUGGAAAGAUAACAUUAAAUACAGAGUCUGAAGAUAUAACCCCAAGUAAGCUCUUAAAAACAAAAAAUACAUUUGAAGAAAGAUGUUUUUCUUUAAAACGAAUAUGAAUGUUUUAUUUUGCCUCUCGUUUAAAUAGCUGUAAAAGCUUUAAGCAAUUUACACCUGAAAAAGAUGUGCCUUUGUUUAUCAUGUGGUUUCUUUUAUUUAUUUAUUUAUUUAUUUAUUUAUUUAUUUAUUAUUAUUAUACUUUGGUUCUAGGUAAUAUGUGCAUAACGGGCAGGUUUGUUACAUAUGUAUACUUGUGUCAUGUUGGUGUGUUGCACCCAUUGACCCUGUCAUCAAAGACUCCCUCAACUCGUCAUUUACAUCAGGUAUAACUCCCACGCUAUCCCUCCCCCUCCCUCCUUCUACAUAGGGGUCCCGUG